rnacentral:rRNA from 1 species
CACGUAGGGCGCGAGCGUUGUCCGGAAUUAUUGGGCGUAAAGAGCUCGUAGGCGGCCUGUUGCGUCCGCUGUGAAAGCCCGGGGCUUAACCCCGGGUCGGCAGUGGAUACGGGCAGGCUAGAGGUAGGUAGGGGAGAAUGGAAUUCCCGGUGUAGCGGUGAAAUGCGCAGAUAUCGGGAGGAACACCGGUGGCGAAGGCGGGUCUCUGGGCCGAUACUGACGCUGAGGAGCGAAAGCGUGGGGAGCGAACCGG